GACGAACGCUGGCGGCACGCUUAACACAUGCAAGUCGAACGGAGUUAAUUGGAGCUUGCUUUGAUUAACUUAUUGGCGGACGGGUGAGUAACACGUUAGCAACCUGCCUUUAAGAGAGGAAUAACAGUCUGAAACGACUGCUAAUACCUCAUAACAUAAUGAAGCCGCAUGACUUUGCUAUCAAAGAUUUAUCGCUUAAAGAUGGGCUCGCGUCUGAUUAGCUUGUUGGUGAGGUGACGGCGCACCAAGGCGACGAUCAUUAGCCGUACUGAGAGGUAGAUCGGCCACAAUGGGACUGAGACACGGCCCAGACUCCUACGGGAGGCAGCAGUGGGGAAUAUUGCACAAUGGAGGAAACUCUGAUGCAGCGAUGCCGCGUGAGGGAAGAAGGUUUUGGGAUUGUAAACCUCUGUCUUCAGGGACGAUAACGACGGUACCUGAGGAGGAAGCUCCGGCUAACUACGUGCCAGCCGCCGCCGUAA
rnacentral:rRNA from 1 species